rnacentral:rRNA from 1 species
AGAUUGAACGCUGGCGGCAUGCCUUACACAUGCAAGUCGAACGGUAGAGUAGCAAUACUUGAGAGUGGCGAACGGGUGAGUAAUAUAUCGGAACGUGCCCAGUCGUGGGGGAUAACGUAGAGAAAUUUACGCUAAUACCGCAUACGAUCUAAGGAUGAAAGCGGGGGACCGUAAGGCCUCGCGCGAUUGGAGCGGCUGAUAUCAGAUUAGGUUGUUGGUGAGGUAAAAGCUCACCAAGCCGACGAUCUGUAGCUGGUUUGAGAGAACGACCAGCCACACUGGGACUGAGACACGGCCCAGACUCCUACGGGAGGCAGCAGUGGGGAAUUUGGACAAUGGGCGCAAGCCUGAUCCAGCCAUGCCGCGUGUGGGAAGAAGGGCCUUCGGGUUGUAAACCACUUUUGUCAAGGAAGAACGGCUCUUACUAAUAUUAGGAGCUAAUGACGGUACCUGAAGAAUAAGCACCGGCUAACUACGUACCACGACAGACCGCGGUAACUACGUGUA